rnacentral:rRNA from 1 species
GCUAGGAGCCAUAUCACCCUGCAACUGGCUACUUACAGCUGGUAACCCACUGAAGCUAAGCAGGUGUGAGCUUGGUCAGUACCUGGAUGGGAGACCUCCUGGGAAAAACUAAGGUUGCUGCUGGAA